rnacentral:rRNA from 1 species
UGGGGAAUUUUGGACAAUGGGCGAAAGCCUGAUCCAGCAAUGCCGCGUGUGUGAAGAAGGCCUUCGGGUUGUAAAGCACUUUUGUCCGGAAAGAAAUCCUUGGCUCUAAUACAGUCGGGGGAUGACGGUACCGGAAGAAUAAGCACCGGCUAACUACGUGCCAGCAGCCGCGGUAAUACGUAGGGUGCAAGCGUUAAUCGGAAUUACUGGGCGUAAAGCGUGCGCAGGCGGUUUGCUAAGACCGAUGUGAAAUCCCCGGGCUCAACCUGGGAACUGCAUUGGUGACUGGCAGGCUAGAGUAUGGCAGAGGGGGGUAGAAUUCCACGUGUAGCAGUGAAAUGCGUAGAGAUGUGGAGGAAUACCGAUGGCGAAGGCAGCCCCCUGGGGCCAAUACUGACGCUCAUGCACGAAAGCGUGGGGAGCAAACAGGAUUAGAUACCCUGGUAGUCCACGCCCUAAACGAUGUCAACUAGUUGUUGGGGAUUCAUUUCCUUAGUAACGUAGCUAACGCGUGAAGUUGACCGCCUGGGGAGUACGGUCGCAAGAUUAAAACUCAAUGAAUUGACGGGGUCAUAGCUG